CUUGCUCUGUGGGAUCAGUGGCGAACGGGUGAGUAACACGUGAGCAACCUGCCCCUGACUCUGGGAUAAGCGCUGGAAACGGCGUCUAAUACUGGAUAUGUGACGUGACCGCAUGGUCUGCGUUUGGAAAGAUUUUUCGGUUGGGGAUGGGCUCGCGGCCUAUCAGCUUGUUGGUGAGGUAAUGGCUCACCAAGGCGUCGACGGGUAGCCGGCCUGAGAGGGUGACCGGCCACACUGGGACUGAGACACGGCCCAGACUCCUACGGGAGGCAGCAGUGGGGAAUAUUGCACAAUGGGCGAAAGCCUGAUGCAGCAACGCCGCGUGAGGGAUGACGGCCUUCGGGUUGUAAACCUCUUUUAGCAGGGAAGAAGCGAAAGUGACGGUACCUGCAGAAAAAGCGCCGGCUAACUACGUGCCAGCAGCCGCGGUAAUACGUAGGGCGCAAGCGUUAUCCGGAAUUAUUGGGCGUAAAGAGCUCGUAGGCGGUUUGUCGCGUCUGCUGUGAAAUCCCGAGGCUCAACCUCGGGCCUGCAGUGGGUACGGGCAGACUAGAGUGCGGUAGGGGAGAUUGGAAUUCCUGGUGUAGCGGUGGAAUGCGCAGAUAUCAGGAGGAACACCGAUGGCGAAGGCAGAUCUCUGGGCCGUAACUGACGCUGAGGAGCGAAAGGGUGGGGAGCAAACAGGCUUAGAUACCCUGGUAGUCCACCCCGUAAACGUUGGGAACUAGUUGUGGGGUCCAUUCCACGGAUUCCGUGACGCAGCUAACGCAUUAAGUUCCCCGCCUGGGGAGUACGGCCGCAAGGCUAAAACUCAAAGGAAUUGACGGGGACCCGCACAAGCGGCGGAGCAUGCGGAUUAAUUCGAUGCAACGCGAAGAACCUUACCAAGGCUUGACAUAUACGAGAACGGGCCAGAAAUGGUCAACUCUUUGGACACUCGUAAACAGGUGGUGCAUGGUUGUCGUCAGCUCGUGUCGUGAGAUGUUGGGUUAAGUCCCGCAACGAGCGCAACCCUCGUUCUAUGUUGCCAGCACGUAAUGGUGGGAACUCAUGGGAUACUGCCGGGGUCAACUCGGAGGAAGGUGGGGAUGACGUCAAAUCAUCAUGCCCCUUAUGUCUUGGGCUUCACGCAUGCUACAAUGGCCGGUACAAAGGGCUGCAAUACCGUGAGGUGGAGCGAAUCCCAAAAAGCCGGUCCCAGUUCGGAUUGAGGUCUGCAACUCGACCUCAUGAAGUCGGAGUCGCUAGUAAUCGCAGAUCAGCAACGCUGCGGUGAAUACGUUCCCGGGUCUUGUACACACCGC
rnacentral:rRNA from 1 species